GACGAACACUGGCGGCGUGCUUAACACAUGCAAGUCGAACGGAAAGGCCCUGCUUUUGUGGGGUGCUCGAGUGGCGAACGGGUGAGUAACACGUGAGUAACCUGCCCUUGACUUUGGGAUAACUUCAGGAAACUGGGGCUAAUACCGGAUAGGAGCUCCUGCUGCAUGGUGGGGGUUGGAAAGUUUCGGCGGUUGGGGAUGGACUCGCGGCUUAUCAGCUUGUUGGUGGGGUAGUGGCUUACCAAGGCUUUGACGGGUAGCCGGCCUGAGAGGGUGACCGGCCACAUUGGGACUGAGAUACGGCCCAGACUCCUACGGGGGGCAGCAGUGGGGAAUAUUGCACAAUGGGCGGAAGCCUGAUGCAGCAACGCCGCGUGCGGGAUGACGGCCUUCGGGUUGUAAACCGCUUUCGCCUGUGACGAAGCGUGAGUGACGGUAAUGGGUAAAGAAGCACCGGCUAACUACGUG
rnacentral:rRNA from 1 species